UGGCUGCUCACCCCUGUAAGGUCUCCGGUUGGCCCUGCCAAGGAGCAGUACAACUCGGCCCACACUCGGACGAGGCAAGUCAUUGAGAGGACCUUCGGGGUUCUCAAAGGACGCUUCAGGUGCCUGCACCAGUCCGGGGGUGCUCUACAGUACAGUCCGCUGAUGUGCACCAAAAUAGGGGUGGCAUGCGCUAUGCUGCGCAACAUGUGUGUCCGACAUGGCAUUGACUUCAACUUUACUGAUGAUGACCCUUUCUUGGACGAGGGAGGGGAUGACCCUGAACUACGACGUCUGCAAGAAGACACAGGAGCUGGGAUUGCUGUGGGUCGCCAAGUUAUUCAGGCCAUGCGUUCAUUGGCUGAGCAGAUGUAAUGGCACUACAUCGGGCACUUCAUCGCCAUGUGCUUUGUGGCUCCAGCAAAAUUGACAGAUAAAUAUGUGGGAUUUUACGUCCCAAAACAACGAUGUGAUCACCCGAGACACCCUAAUGGAGGAUCAUCUCAUGUUUUUCAACGUGCACGGAUAUCGCAGAGUACACAGACCUUUACCAUUUC